AUGAUAGAGGCGCAUUUUGCAAACAGUAACCGUUUUCGGAUAAGGCUCUCGCAGGGCUGAGGCGGCGAAAGGUGCGAAUGCCGAGGACGGUUGCGGCGAAAGACCGAUCCGGCAGUGUGAAAUAAGAUUUGCAUUGCUGUCGCAGUUUUGCGGAGAGCUAUCUGU
rnacentral:ncRNA from 1 species